rnacentral:rRNA from 1 species
UGGGGAAUAUUGGGCAAUGGGCGAAAGCCUGACCCAGCAACGCCGCGUGAAGGAAGAAGGCUUUCGGGUUGUAAACUUCUUUUAAGAGGGAAGAGCAGAAGACGGUACCUCUUGAAUAAGCCACGGCUAACUACGUGCCAGCAGCCGCGGUAAUACGUAGGUGGCAAGCGUUGUCCGGAUUUACUGGGUGUAAAGGGCGUGCAGCCGGGCUGACAAGUCAGAUGUGAAAUCCCGCGGCUUAACCGCGGAACUGCAUUUGAAACUGUUGGUCUUGAGUAUCGGAGAGGCAGGCGGAAUUCCUAG